AAAAGUGAAAGACGGUCUUGCUGUCACUUAUAGAUGGAUCCGCGCUGCAUUAGCUAGUUGGUAAGGUAACGGCUUACCAAGGCAACGAUGCAUAGCCGACCUGAGAGGGUGAUCGGCCACACUGGAACUGAGACACGGUCCAGACUCCUACGGGAGGCAGCAGUAGGGAAUCUUCCGCAAUGGGCGAAAGCCUGACGGAGCAACGCCGCGUGAGUGAUGAAGGUCUUCGGAUCGUAAAACUCUGUUAUUAGGGAAGAACAUAUGUGUAAGUAACUGUGCACAUCUUGACGGUACCUAAUCAGAAAGCCACGGCUAACUACGUGCCAGCAGCCGCGGUAAUACGUAGGUGGCAAGCGUUAUCCGGAAUUAUUGGGCGUAAAGCGCGCGUAGGCGGUUUUUUAAGUCUGAUGUGAAAGCCCACGGCUCAA
rnacentral:rRNA from 1 species